UGAUUGAUCCAUUGGCUGCAAAUAGCUC
rnacentral:piRNA from 1 species